GAUGAACGCUGGCGGCGUGCCUAAUACAUGCAAGUCGAGCGAACAGACGAGGAGCUUGCUCCUCUGACGUUAGCGGCGGACGGGUGAGUAACACGUGGAUAACCUACCUAUAAGGCUGGGAUAACUUCGGGAAACCGGAGCUAAUACCGGAUAAUAUAUUGAACCGCAUGGUUCAAUAGUGAAAGACGGUUUUGCUGUCACUUAUAGAUUGAUCCGCGCCGCAUUAGCUAGUUGGUAAGGUAACGGCUUACCAAGGCGACGAUGCGUAGCCGACCUGAGAGGGUGGUCGGCCACACUGGAACUGAGACACGGUCCAGACUCCUACGGGAGGCAGCAGUAGGGAAUCUUCCGCAAUGGGCGAAAGCCUGACGGAGCAACGCCGCGUGAGUGAUGAAGGUCUUCGGAUCGUAAAACUCUGUUAUUAGGGAAGAACAAAUGUGUAAGUAACUAUGCACGUCUUGACGGUACCUAAUCAGAAAGCCACGGCUAACUACGUG
rnacentral:rRNA from 1 species